AGAUUAAAAUGGAAACUAGGGACAAAAAGGACAUUAGUGAUGAUGAAAUUAGGGAAUAGUUGCACUGAACCUGUAUGAGUUACCAUAACUUUGUGAGAAUUAGGUAACUUAACGGAGAUUGCUUUAGGUAAAGGAUUAAGGAAAAUAAAAAAUUUCUUGUCAUAGGUCAUAUGUUGACUAGCCCCUGAGUCUAUAAUCCAAGAAUUUGGUUUAAUGGAAUUUUGAAUUUUAGUUUCAGAGUAAAAAGAGAAUGGUAACAGUCCUAUACCAGCACAGUUAGCAGCAGCUGUAGCCUCAGAAUCAGUGCUCUGGUUUCCAAUCUUUUCUUGAUGGAGAAGUUGCAUGAUUUGGUUCAGCUGUCCUGGGCUCAACAACUUUCCUGUGUCUAAUGAAUCCAUGUUAUAGUAAAACUGAUUACCAGCAGUUUCUCCAGUCAUAGCAGCAUUACCUUGAACUGAAUUGGUAUAUGGCCUAGACUUAGUAAACUUAAAAUUUGGCGGAAAACCAUGAAUCUUAUAGCAUUUUUCAACAGUGUGCCCUGGUUUUUUGCAAUACUUGCAAAUAAGUGAAGUUCUCUUGUUCUCAUAUGGUCCUCUUACAGGCUUAAAAUAAGAAGGAUCAGAUCACUGAUUAGAGGUGCUUUGUCCCAUAGCAACAAAAGAUGAACUCUCUCCUGGAAACUUUGGAUUGGAAUGAACUUCCCUCUGUUUCUCUUCUUGCAUCAGAAGAGCAUAGACAUUAGCAAUAGAAGGUACAGUCACACUUGCAAAUGAUGAAUGCGUCCAAAGUGUCAAGCUCAUCCCAGAGUCUUUUCAUCUUUGUGUAGUAACCAGCAAUGUCAUUGGUACCCUGAACAAGAUCACUCAGCUCUUUCUGAAGCUGAAACAACUUGGCACCACUGCUUUGCCCAAAUCUAGCCUCCAGUUCACUCCACAACUCUUUGGCUGUGGAGGAGUAAAUGACGCUAUCAGAUAUUUCUUUUGAGAGAGAGUUCAAAAGCCAUGAUAUGACCAUAUUAUUGGCCCUGGCCCAAGCCUUGUGAAGAUCAGAGUCACCAGUAGGUUCAGUGCUAGAUCCAUCUAUGAAUCCGAAUUUGUUUUUGGCUGUUAAGGCAAUCAUCAUGCCCCUUUUCCAACCAGCAUAGUUUUUUCCAUCGAAAGGACUAUUCACCAGUAGACUACCUGGUGAAUCUGAUGGUGCACUGAAGUAAGGGUGUGAAGGAGGAAUUGGAUCAGUGGAAGAAGCCUUUUGAGCCACCAUUGCUGUACUUUCACCCAUUGCUCAGAGAAGAAGAAAAAUGAUGACAGUGGAGAGCUUGAAGAUGAACAGAUGAAAGAAAGGAAAACAAAAGAAAAGAAGAAUUAGAUAUCCUGCUCUGAUACCAUGAAAGAAAACAAGAUGCAGGAAUUUUUCUUUGUAUAUUCACUGUCUGUUUUGUAUGCUGUACAAACGUAUAUUUAUAGCUAGCCAAAAAGGAAUCUCUAUUCUAACAGAA